rnacentral:rRNA from 1 species
AGUGAACGCUGGCGGUAGGCCUAACACAUGCAAGUCGAACGGCAGCACAGUAAGAGCUUGCUCUUACGGGUGGCGAGUGGCGGACGGGUGAGGAAUACAUCGGAAUCUACUUUUUCGUGGGGGAUAACGUAGGGAAACUUACGCUAAUACCGCAUACGACCUACGGGUGAAAGCAGGUGAUCUUCGGACCUUGCGCGAUUGAAUGAGCCGAUGUCGGAUUAGCUAGUUGGCGGGGUAAAGGCCCACCAAGGCGACGAUCCGUAGCUGGUCUGAGAGGAUGAUGAGCCACACUGGAACUGAGACACGGUCCAGACUCCUACGGGAGGCAGCAGUGGGGAAUAUUGGACAAUGGGCGCAAGCCUGAUCCAGCCAUACCGCGUGGGUGAAGAAGGCCUUCGGGUUGUAAAGCCCUUUUGUUGGGAAAGAAAAGCAGCAGGUUAAUACCCCGCUGUUCUGACGGUACCCAAAGAAUAAGCACCGGCUAACUUCGUG